rnacentral:rRNA from 1 species
AACGGCCGCGGUAUCCUAACCGUGCAAAGGUAGCAUAAUCAUUUGCCCAUUAAUUGUGGGCUAGUAUGAAAGGGUUAACGAAAUAAAAACUGUCUCAAUUAAUCACCUAAAAACUAUUCUCUACUUGAAGAAAAGUAGAUUGCCUCGAAGGACAAGAAGACCCUAUAGAGCUUAAUUUUACUUAUAGGUCAAACACUAUAAAAAUAUUCGGUUGGGGCGACCCAGGGCUAACUAAUCACCCACAAAAAAAAAGAUAUAUAAAUCAAGUAAAUGACCCUCAUUGAUCAAAAGACCAAGCUACCUUAGGGAUAACAGGCUAAUCCCACUUAAGAGUCCUUAUCAACAGUGGGGUUUGGCACCUCGAUGUUGGCUUAGG